CCACUUGUGAUUCGUUUGCUACUAAAUAUUUCCUUCAUCUAUGGGCUCAAAUACAGUUUUAAAGGCUGUUAUUUUCUGAGUAAGAUGCAACGCUGAAUCAUCCAUGGAAGAAAAUCUCUGAAGAAUCUGAAAUGAGGGAGGACGAGCGAUUUGCUCAACUUCUGCAUAUUCAGUUACUGUCUAACAAGGACCAUCAGGAGCUGACUGGGAAAGCAUGAGGAGAGCAAUGAGGAAGAGGCUGUUGUUGGAAAGGGAAGUUCCACUGCGGUAGCACCUGCUCUCCACUCUCAACAGCAGCUCCCUGGAUCUCUGGGAUGGCGGCAGCAGCAGUCCCACCAUUUCUCAGUGUGCUGAGCCAAGAAAAUACUUCAAACAGCGAACACGUCUUAUCAGUCAGAAGUAUUUCAGACAUCUUCACAAUGCUCUCUAGUUUUUGAAAGUCAAGCAGUGACUGCUCGUCGAGGUUGGAAGGGAUCUCUGGAGGUCGCCAGAUCCAAUCCCCUGCUCGGAGCGGGACUAAGGGACAGCGCGUUGCUCGGAGGGGCUGCUGGGCCCCAG